GCUUGAACCCAAGAGGUUGAGGCUGCAGUAAGCCAAGAUUGUGCCACUGCACUUCAGCCUGGGUGACAA
rnacentral:miRNA from 1 species